AACCGGAUUAGAUACCCUGGUAGUCCACGCCCUAAACGAUGUCUACUAGUUGUCGGGUUUUAAUUAACUUGGUAACGCAGCUAACGCGUGAAGUAGACCGCCUGGGGAGUACGGUCGCAAGAUUAAAACUCAAAGGAAUUGACGGGGACCCGCACAAGCGGUGGAUGAUGUGGAUUAAUUCGAUGCAACGCGAAAAACCUUACCUACCCUUGACAUGUACGGAAGACCGAAGAGAUUUGGUUGUGCUCGAAAGAGAACCGUAACACAGGUGCUGCAUGGCUGUCGUCAGCUCGUGUCGUGAGAUGUUGGGUUAAGUCCCGCAACGAGCGCAACCCUUGUCAUUAGUUGCUACAUUUAGUUGAGCACUCUAAUGAGACUGCCGGUGACAAACCGGAGGAAGGUGGGGAUGACGUCAAGUCCUCAUGGCCCUUAUGGGUAGGGCUUCACACGUCAUACAAUGGUACAUACAGAGGGCCGCCAACCCGCGAGGGGGAGCUAAUCCCAGAAAGUGUAUCGUAGUCCGGAUCGCAGUCUGCAAC
rnacentral:rRNA from 1 species